rnacentral:lncRNA from 10 species
GGCAGCCGGAGCGAGCAGUAGCCGAGCUGUAAUGUCUUACAAUAACAGAAUGCAGGAGAGCACAUAUCAAUGAAGAAAAGACAAAAUGUACUUAUCCAUGAAGCUGAGGUUAAGAAACCAGUGUCUUCAAGAGCCAGGGACAGCACUGGGUCUGUGCAGAGUUGAGAGAUGGUGAUGACAUGUGGUUUCCAGCAUUCCUCACCCAGUCCAGGGACACUGUGGGUGUGCCCAGCUUAAGUCCAGUAACUGGAAAUACAAGCCCAAGUUCUGGAGAGUUUGAGCUGCAG